rnacentral:rRNA from 1 species
GGAAGGGGUGUAUUUAUUAGAUAAAAAACCAAUGCCCUUCGGGGCUCUUUGGUGAUUCAUGAUAACUUUACGGAUCGCAUAGCCUUGCGCUGGCGACGGUUCAUUCAAAUUUCUGCCCUAUCAACUUUCGAUGGUAAGGUAUCGGCUUACCAUGGUUUCAACGGGUAACGGGAAAUUAGGGUUCGAUUCCGGAGAGGGAGCCUGAGAAACGGCUACCACAUCCAAGGAAGGCAGCAGGCGCGCAAAUUACCCAAUCCCGACACGGGGAGGUAGUGACAAUAAAUACUGAUACAGGGCUCUUUUGGGUCUUGUAAUUGGAAUGAGUACAAUUUAAACCUCUUAACGAGGAACAAUUGGAGGGCAAGUCUGGUGCCAGCAGCCGCGGUAAUUCCAGCUCCAAUAGCGUAUAUUAAAGUUGUUGCAGUUAAAAAGCUCGUAGUUGAAACUUGGGCCUGGGCUGGCGGGUCCGCCUCACCGCGUGCACUCGUCCGGCCGGGCCUUCCUUCUGAAGAACCCCAUGCCCUUCACUGGGCGUGUUGGGGAAUCAGGACUUUUACUUUGAAAAAAUUAGAGUGUUCAAAGCAGGCCUUUGCUCGAAUACGUUAGCAUGGAAUAAUAAAAUA